GGAAAAGAGGUUUAAUUGGCUCAU
rnacentral:piRNA from 1 species